rnacentral:misc_RNA from 1 species
AACGCACAUUGCGCCCUCUGGUAUUCCGGGGGGCAUGCCUGUUCGAGCGUCAUUACAACCCUCAAGCUCUGCUUGGUAUUGGGUGCCACCAGUCCGGUGCAUCUUAAAAUCAGUGGCGGUGCCAUUCGGCUUCAAGCGUAGUAAUAUUUCUCGCUAAGGAGCUCGGGUGAGUGCCUGCCAGCAACCCCAAUUUUUCAAAGGUUGACCUCGGAUCAGGUAGGGAUACCCGCUGAACUUAA